rnacentral:rRNA from 1 species
AGUGAACGCUGGCGGUAGGCCUAACACAUGCAAGUCGAACGGCAGCACAGUAAGAGCUUGCCCUUACGGGUGGCGAGUGGCGGACGGGUGAGGAAUACAUCGGAAUCUACUUUUACGUGGGGGAUAACGUAGGGAAACUUACGCUAAUACCGCAUACGACCUACGGGUGAAAGCAGGAGAUCUUCGGACUUUGCGCGAUUGAUUGAGCUGAUGUCGGAUUAGCUAGUUGGCGGGGUAAAGGCCCACCAAGGCGACGCUCCGUAGCUGGACUGAGAGGAUGAUCAGCCACACUGGAAAUUGGACACGGACCAGGCUCCUACGGGAGGCAGCAGUGGGGAAUAUUGGACAAUGGGGGGAAGUCUGGUCCAGCCAUACCGCGUGGGUGAAGGAGGCCUUCGGGUUGUAAAGCCCUUUUGUUGGGAAAGAAAAGCAGCAGGUUAAUACCCCGCUGUUCUGACGGUACCCAAAGAAUAAGCACCGGCUAACUUCGGGC